rnacentral:lncRNA from 1 species
CCAAUAUUCAAUUUGUUUCUCUCCAUUUCUGUCUCCUUACAGUUAGACUGAGCCAUUUGACUAGUUUUGCCUGAAAAACUGUGUGCAGAAAUGACUUAUUACUACUUCCAGUCUAAGGCAAUAAAAAGCCAGUGGUCGUUUCUCUAAUUUCUCUUUCUUCCUCUCUUAUGACUGAAGAAGACUCUGCUACAAGAUGGUGAAACUUCUGUCCACCAGGCUUCCUGAGCAACUAUGGAGCAGCGUGUCAGUGGACCAAUGUCAACCAUGUUGCAUGAAUGAUACAUCAACUUGUUUUUUGAGCUUCUAGAUGGGAUCGUUUUUUACCCCAGCACAAUUUAGCUAAUCCUGACUAAACUAAGGAGUAAGCAACUAAAUAUCUUAGAGAGAGCCAAACUCUAAAAUUAAAAAUGAAACCGAGACAAAAACCUCACAGUCUCAGAUUCUCAAUAGCUCUCUAAGCAGGAAUUUGCUUUAAUUAGCUAAGGUUCUUGCUGAAAUGUUCUCUCUAGCCUCAAAACCAGCUCUGUUUUGUCUAACUGCCUACAUGUUUCUCAAUUCUGUAGCUCCGAGUUACUUGUUGGUCAACCAAGUCUACAGGUUUAUUGAGAGAUGAUUACAAUAUAACGUUGUAUAAAUGUAAGGUGAAAACCCAUUUUGGAAUGGAAGAAGCAAUAUGGUGGUUCCAAGAGGCAAGAUUUAUCAAUAUUAAAUUCAUGCUGUGCAAUCAAUAGGAAGGAGGAAGAACAUGAAAAGUUACAAUAUGAGAAAAACACUGACACCAUGCUGGAUGGAAAAGAAGCUUUGAAGAUGAUCCCUUUAAGCUGGGUCAGAGAGAGAGACAUUUCCAGGAACCCAGAACACCAAAUUAAUUUAAACAACUUUACUUUUAAAAAUAUACCAAUUCUGGCCAAGAAAGAAAGAAAGAAAGAGAAAGAAAAGAAAAGAAAAGAAAAGAAAAGAAAAGAAAAGAAAGAAAAGAAAGAGAGGGGAAGGAAGGAAGGAAGGAAGGAAGGAAGGAAGGA